rnacentral:rRNA from 1 species
AAUCAGUAUUAGAGGCACUGCCUGCCCAGUGACAAUCGUUAAACGGCCGCGGUACUCUGACCGUGCAAAGGUAGCAUAAUCAUUUGUUCUUUAAAUAAGGACUUGUAUGAAUGGCCACACGAGGGUUUUACUGUCUCUUACUUUUAAUCAGUGAAAUUGACCUCCCCGUGAAGAGGCGGGGAUAAUAAAAUAAGACGAGAAGACCCUAUGGAGCUUUAAUUAACCAACCCAAAAAAUAUAAAUUUAAACCACCAAGGAAUAACAAAACUUUAUAUGGGUUGACAAUUUUGGUUGGGGUGACCUCGGAGCACAAAAAAACCUCCGAGUGAUUAAAACCUAGGCCUACCAGCCAAAGUGUUAAAUCACUUAUUGAUCCAAUUUUUUUGAUCAACGGAACAAGUUACCCUAGGGAUAACAGCGCAAUCCUAUUUUAGAGUCCAUAUCGACAAUAGGGUUUACGACCUCGAUGUUGGAUCAGGACAUCCUAAUGGUGUAGCCGCUAUUAAGGGUUCGUUUGUU